CCAACCAGGAUUCCCCUAGUAGCGGCGAGCGAAGCGGGAUUAGCCCAAUGUGUAAAGCCAGAGCAUUUUGCUUUUGGCGUUGUAUUGCACGGAUCUCCCGGAGUCUGUCAGUCAUGGAAAGUGCGCAUGAAAAUGCCUGCCGAGGAGGGUUAAAGCCCCGUUCAGCUAUGACACGACAUUCUCGUACAGGGAAGAUCUCAACGAGUCGGAUAGCUUGAGAAUGCUGUCCUAAGAGGUGGUAAAUCUCACCUAAGGCUAAAUACUGGCGGGAGACCGAUAGUAAACAAGUACCGUGAGGGAAAGUUUAAAAGCACUUUGAAAAGAGAGUGAAAAGAACCUGAAACCGCUAGGGGGGAAGCGAAUUGCGUUGACACGUUGAGAAUGGUGUCGAUCAGUGGGUGAAACCGCGUAUUCCGCACUUUUUUCUCAUCUGUCAUGAGUUUGCGUGUCGGCAGAAAUUGUGCCGCCGUAGGCUGAGGGAUCCCUCUUGAGGGUGACGAUGACAGCAUUUUGUUGGCGCGAUUCGACCCGUCUUGAAACACGGACCAAGGAGUCUAGCGUAUCUGCGAGUCAAAGGGUGUGAAAACCCGACGGCGCAGUGAAAGCGAAUGAAUGAAUGUUCCUAAAAUGAUAUAUGUAUUGCAAUUUGAGGCGGCAUACGACCGUUGGUUGUAAGUCCGACCUGGAGCAGAUAUGCUAGGACCCGAAAGAUGGUGAACUAUGCUUGAAUAGGGCGAAGCCAGAGGAAACUCUGGUGGAGGCUCGUAGCGGUGCUGACGUGCAAAUCGCUCGUCAAAUUUGAGUAUAGGGGCGAAAGACUAAUCGAACCAUCUAGUAGCUGGUUUCCUCCGAAGUUUCUCUCAGGAUAGCAGGCCCAAACAGUAUAACUGAUGUUGACAGAUUGUUGUGUGUGGUAAAGCGAAUGAUUAGCAUACUCGGGGGCGUUAUGCCUUUGGAUGAUUCUCAAACUUUAAAUGCGCACGGAUGCUGCCGCUCGAUUGGGCGGCAUCGCGAAAAACUAGGGCCUUGUGGGCCAUUUUUGGUAAGCAGAACUGGCGAUACGGGAUGAACCGUAAGUGUGGUUAAGGCGUCAAAUUGUCCGCUUAGAGAUUCCAAAAAAGGUGUUGAUUCAUCGAGACAGCAGGACGGUGGCCAUGGAAGUCGGAAUCCGCUAAGGAGUGUGUAACAACUCACCUGCCGAAUGAAUUAGGCCUGAAAAUGGAUGACGCUAAAGCGGGCAGCCGACACCACACCGUUUGGGCAAAGAACACACACACCACUAUAUGCUUAAAUGAGUAGGAGGAACGUGGUGGUCGUGUUGAAGCGUGCGUGCAAACGUGCGUGGAACGGCCACUAGUGCAGAUCUUGGUGUUAGUAGCAAAUAUUCAAACGAGAACCUUGAAGGGCGACGCGGGGAAGGGUUCCACGCGAACAUUGAUUGAGCGUGGGUAAGUCGUUCCUAAGCCGCGUGGCAAUAGCUAAAUACCGGCGAAAGGGAAGCAGGUUGAUAUUCCUGCACACAGAUGUGGAAGUGCGGCGACGCAUAAUUUGGGGCGGUGAAGCUGGCGAUGGCUCUGGGCAGAGUUGUCUUUUCUGUUUAACUUGUCUGGACGCGUAGUGUGGAAUCCGCUUGUCGGGAGAAACACACGAGUUUGGGAAUAGCGCCGGGUUUUUUUCCGGCGUCCAGCACGCCAUCGUCAGACCUUGAAAAACUGUCUGUGGGCACAUUGUUGCCUUAGUUUCCGAAAGGAAAAUGAAAAACCACGCUGUGACGUACCGAUAACCGCAUCAGGUCCCCAAGGUGAACAGCCUCUGCUCGAUAUGAACAAUGCAGGUAAGGGAAGUCGGCAAAUUAGACCCGUAACUUUGGGAAAAGGGUUGGCUCUAGUGCUGCGUGGGCGAGGUUGGAUUGUGCGGCUGCUGCGCGUGAUCCCGUGUCUCUACUUGCGAAUCGUCUCAUGGCGUAGUAGCUUGUCAGGUGAUGGGGAGGACUAGCGGCGGCUACCUUUCACAACUACCCACGGAAUGCAGCAAACUAGAACUGCAACGGACAAAGGGAAUCCGACUGUUUAAUUAAAACAAAGCAUUGCGAAGGCCAUGGGCUGGUGUUGACGCAAUGUGAUUUCUGCUCAGUGCUCUGAAUGUCAAAGUGAAGAGAUUCAACCAAGCGCGGGUAAACAGCGGGAGUAACUAUGACUCUCUUAAGGUAGCCAAAUGCCUCGUCAUCUAAUUAGUGACGCGCAUGAAUGGAUUAACGAGAUUCCUACUGUCCCUAUCUGCUUCUAGCGAAAACACAGCCGAGGGAACGGGCUCGGCAAAUUUGGCGGGGAAAGAAGACCCUGUUGAGCUUGACUCUAUUCUAAAACUGUGAAACGAGUUGGGAGGUGUAGCAUAGGUGGGAGAGGCAUGUAUUUGUCUCGUCCGUGAAAUACCACUACUCCCAAUCUCGUUUUACUUACCAGGUGAGUGUGGGAUUGGGGGUUUUUGUGAAACCCUUUGUUU
rnacentral:rRNA from 1 species